GAAGAAUCUUUCAGCACAGAUGAUGAAGAGGGGUCUCAAAAUGGUCUGGCUGUAGAGGACUCAAUUUACUAUGGCAACUUUGAGGCAGUGUAUGAUGUUGCAGAUGAAUCUUCCAGCACGGACAACAAAGAGGGGUCUCAAAAUGGUCUGGCUGUAGAGGACUCAACUUUCUAUGGCAACUUUGAGGCAGUGUAUGAUGUUGCAGAUGAUGAACCUUCAAGACCCAGAGUGGCACCUUUGUACACCACGUCCUUCAAAGCAAAAAGACUCAAGAUCUCACCUGUCUGCUAAAUGCACAGAAUAAUGCGAACACCUGCCCAUGUUGGACCCCUGUUUAGUACAGUUCAUGUCUAUUUCAUAG